AGGUGCCUACGGACACAGUCGAUUAGGUGCCUUUUUCCACAGCGUCCGAGGUUUGCGCUCCAAGGUCGUGGGGGCCCGGCCGGGCGCGCACAGCCCUGCUGGCUUCUAUCCCUCUUGGUCUCACAGCCGUCAUCGUGGUCUCACAGCCGUCAUCGUGGUCUCACUUCACCGCCUUCCUGUACGUCCACCUCUCCUUCCAUGGGUCUUUCUUGGAGCACUGGCACCUGGAGUCACCUAUAGAUUGAGGUGUAUAUGGCAGUCCCACGCUCGCUCGCUGUAAUUGCCGACGAAAGGAGCAGGGCCAAGGCCUCUGGCCCAAGAAAGUUGAGCAAGACCUGGCAGUCCUGCCACAGAGCAGACAGACUGGGACAAAUCAGAAGGUUGUGGAGCAAUGUAAAGGCCUAACAGAUGUUUGUCUGCAGCAGAAGGCAGGAGUGACAACGGUUAGAAAGUGAGCAGCGAGUUCACCAGAUCACUCCAGAAUUACGUUCAGUCUGGAGAAGAGACAAAUCAGGGGUUUCAGUGCAUCUUGUCACCUCUGAAGGCUGCUGUGGACAGAAGCAGGAUGCAUGGAUCAAUCAUAAGUCUGUGAUGAAGAACUUUGGGCAGAGAAAGUGCUGAGCACCCCGUCACUGGAGCUAUUUGGCUGAUCUGAAGAAGCCUGGCAGAUGAGCCAUUCCAGCUCCUCCUUUUGUAGAUGAGUCUCCUGAAGCCCAGAGAGGAAGAGUGCUUUGUUGAAGGUCACCCAGCAUAUAUCUGGCCUGCUUCAUACUAAGCAGAAUGACCUCACUUCUCUCCCUGCCUCAGCCAUGAUGGGAGGGAAACUUGGCAUCGCCCUGGAUCCUCCUCCAAAGACUCUGCCUCUUUUGCUGCUGAAAUCAGAAAGCUGAGCAAGUGCUUUCUGUUAGCUGGGGGCUCACCCACCAGCUGAAGCUUGCACAUGUCUUUUAUUGCAAAGAUUUUCUUCCUGCUGCACAAAAUUCAUUGAUGACAUUGUGUGGGGGGGGAUCCUGAACAAAUAGAGCCCAGCCACUAAUUUCAAAAGGAAACAUACUUUGUAAUUAGAUGGCAAAAAGCUGGAAAUGAUGAGAAACAAACUCAGUCGAGCCCUGGCUGGUGCAUAAUAAUUGUUUAUACUAAAUUUAUGUCCAUAAUGUACUGUGCAUCCAGGGAAGGUAUGAGAUAAAGAAAUGGGACCCUCCUCCCACUUUUUUCUAUUAAAAGAAGACAACAUUUAAAAAAAUUUUUUUUAAAUUGAAGUAUAGUUGAUUUACAAUGUGUUAAUUUCUGCUGUACACAAAGUGACUCAGUUAUACACAUAUAUGCAUUCUUUUCCAUUAUGGUUUAUCCCAGGAUAUUGGAUAUAGUUCCCUGUGCUACACAGUAGGACCUUGUUGUUUAUCCAUUCUAAAUGUAAUAGUUUGCAUCUACCUACCCCAAAUUCCCAGUCCAUCUCUCUCCCCACUGUUUGGCAACCACAGGUCUGAUCUCUAUGUCUGUGA